ensembl:lncRNA
CUUUUAGUUUUAUGGUUCCCAACUUACUUUAUGAGGCCAUUAUUAGCCUCAUACCAAGCUAGAUAAGGACAGCACAAAAAAGAAAAUUAUAGACCAAUAUCCCUGAUGAACACAGAUAUAAAAGUCUGCAACUAAAUAUGAACCAACAUAAUUCAGCAGUACAUUAAAAGGAUCAUUCACCAUAAUCAAGUGGAAUUUAUUUCUGGGAUGCAAUGACAGUUCAAUACAUACAAAUCAAUAAAUGUGACACACAUGAGCUGAAAAGAAAAACAAAAAUCACACAAUGCUCUCAACAGAUGCAGAAAAAGCACUGAACCCCCUUCACAAUAAAAACACUCAACAAACUAGGUAUAAAAGCGAUUGACUCAGGGUCCUCAUGGCCAAGCCCAUGGCUAACAUCAUGCUUGACAAAAGAGAGCCAAAGCUUCUCACGCGAGGUCAGGACCAAGACGGUGCCUCUCACACCACUUCUGCACCACCACGGUGGAGGUCAUGGCGAGAGUGACUAAGAAAAUGGAACAAAAAGCAUCAAACCAGAAAGGAGGGAGAAAGAAAAUCUGUUCACAGGGGACAUGAUUUUCUAUACAGAAGACUUUGAAGACUCUGCCAAAAGACUGAUGGCUAAAUGAACUCAGUAAAUUUUCAGGACACCAAAAAUCGAUGUAGAAAGAUAAGAAGCAUCUCUAUGCACUAAUGACAAACUUUGUGAGAAAGGAAUGAAGGAAAUAAUCCCAUUUUCACCAAGAGAUAGAGGGAAGGGUGAGUAAAAAGAAUUAAGAUGUGUAAGGUACACAUACCAAAUCCCCACAGUAAGUGAAAUCAUUAUGUACUGCAAACAUGUACCAAUAAAAACUGAAAUAAUAAUAAAAAUAUGUAAUCAAGAAAAACUGGGCUGGGGAUUUAGCUCAGUGCUUCCGCCACCUGCCUUGCAGGUGCAAGGUCCUGAGUUCGAUCCCCAGUACCAAGAGAAAAAUUAUCCCAUUUAUAAUAGAAUAAAAAAGAACACGGUGGUGCAUGUCUGUAACCCCAGCUACUCAGGCAGCUGAGGCAGGAAGAUCCCAAGUUUGACCCCAGCCUGGCCAACUUAGGAAGAUCCUGUUUUAAAAUAAAAAGGGAUGGGGCCGGGCAUUUAGCUCAGUGGUUUCACCGCCUGCUGUGCAGGUGCAAGAGACCUGAGUUCGAUCCCCAGUCCCCCCCCCAAAAAAAAGGCUGAGGAUGUAUCUAGUGGUAGAGCACCCCUGGUUUCAAUCCCCAGUAACACACACACACACACACACACACACACACACACACACACACACAAAGGAAAACAGAAUAAAGUAAAGAAUAAACUUAAGAAGGUGAAAGUCCUGCACACUGAAAAUGCUAAUACAUGGAUGAAGGAAACCAAAAUGACCCAAAUAUAUUAAAAAUGUCCUGAGUUCUAGGGUUGAGACUAGCAAUGGUGUCAAAAUGGUCAUACUCCCCAAAGUCUCCUACAGAUUCAAUGUCAUUUCUACCAAAAUCUCAAACCGUAUAUUACAACAGCAAUAGAAAGAGCAAUCCCAAAGUUCAUAUGGCACUACAAAAGACCCCGAGUAAUAAACCAAUGCUGAGGAAGAAAAGCAGAAGCUGUAGGCAUCACACUACCUGAUGUUACUGUCUACUGCAGAGCUAGAGCAACUCCAUCAGUGUGGCAUGAAGACAGACUCAUCCAGCAGGGGGCGGGCAGAGCCCAGGAAGGAGCCCUCUCCCAGGGGUCACGGAUCCACCAAGGCGCAGAGAGCACACAGGGGGGUGGGGAGGCGGGCUCCUCUGUGAAUGGCAAGGGGGACACCUGACAGCCACGUGCAGAAGAACAGAACCAGAGCCUGGGCUUAACCCAAAGGCAAAAUUGACCUGGAAUGUUUUAUGUAGAAAAUGAGCUAUUUCUUUUAAUAAUUCAUCAAAAUGUGGGGUUUUCUAAUCUGGUACUUGUGCAGCCAGUCCUGCUUGGAGCCCACAGGCACGUGGCCUCAGUAGCAGUCGGCCACAUUCUCCUCCAGCAGGGCCACUGUGGCCAGGACAUCUUGCAAGAGCGACUGGGGGCUCUUCUCCACGUGGUCGCUGCUCUCGGCCAGCCUGCUCUGGAGGCCCUCCAGGUCCAUGGACCUCAAGGCAGCCAGCACCACCUCGGGCUCUAGGCUCCCCAGGGGCUGGCCCUGCUCACCCACCUGCCACCUCUCCAGGGUGGCCUCCACAGAGGCCACAUCAGAGCUGUCCCCAGCCUCCUGCAGGCCACUGCAGGGAGCACUCUUGUCCCUCAGAAAGAGGAGGAGGUCACAAGCCUUUUGUGCCACAGGUCGAUCACAGUCAAACAAAGCACCGAAAGGCAAAGUCAAAGAUCUGCAUCUGGCAGAGAGUCCUCAGCACCUCAGGGAGUGGGCUGGGUGGGGUGACCUUGGGGAGGGCCACGGCAUAGGGACAGGAGGGGUUGGGCUGCCCCAGUGUCUGGGCCAGGAACACCUGCACCAGCUCCAGGCCCUGGGCCCGGACUUCCCAGUCCAGGUCCCGGCUCACCAUCUGGAGCACAGUGGCCACAAACCACCCGCGUCCUGGAUCACAUCAGCAUGGCUGUUCCUCAGCCACUCAGUGAAGACCCGGGUGACUGCCCUUCGCGGGAACCCCUCCCGAGUCCACGGACAGGAUAUGCAGGAGCUCCCCAACCAGGCCCUGUGGGACC